UACGGAGGGUGCGAGCGUUAUCCGGAAUUACUGGGUUUAAAGGGUGCGUAGGCGGCGCUGUAAGUCAGGAGUGAAAGUUUGCGGCUCAACCGUAAAAUUGCUUUUGAUACUGCGGUGCUGGAAUUAGGAUGAGGUCAGCGGAAUGUGGCAUGUAGCGGUGAAAUGCAUAGAUAUGCCAUAGAACACCAAUUGCGAAGGCAGCUGGCUAGACCUGGAUUGACGCUGGAGGCACGAAAGCGUGGGGAGCGAACAGG
rnacentral:rRNA from 1 species